rnacentral:rRNA from 1 species
UACGUAGGGGGCAAGCGUUGUCCGGAAUCAUUGGGCGUAAAGAGCGUGUAGGCGGCUCGGUAAGUCCGCUGUGAAAGUCCAGGGCUCAACCCUGGAAUGCCGGUGGAAACUGUCGAGCUCGAGUCCGGAAGAGGCGAGUGGAAUUCCUGGUGUAGCGGUGAAAUGCGCAGAUAUCAGGAGGAACACCAAUGGCGAAGGCAGCUCGCUGGGACGGUACUGACGCUGAGACGCGAAAGCGUGGGAGCAAACAGG